AUUGAACGCUGGCGGCAGGCUUAACACCUGCAAGUCGAGCGAGCGGCGGACGGGUGAGUAAUGUCUGGGAAACUGCCUGAUGGAGGGGGAUAACUACUGGAAACGGUAGCUAAUACCGCAUACCAUCAGAUGUGCCCAGAUGGGAUUAGCUAGUAGGUGGGGUAAUGGCUCACCUAGGCGACGAUCCCUAGCUGGUCUGCAAGGAUGACCAGCCACAAUGGAACUGAGCCACGGUCCAAACUCCUACGUCAGGCAGCAGUGGGGAACAUUGCACAAUUGGCGCAAGCCUGAUGAAGCCAUGCCGCGUGUGUGAAGAAGGACUUAGGGUUGUAAAGCACUUUCAGCGAGGAGGCGUUACUCGCAGAAGAAGCACCGGCUAACGCCGUGCCCGCAGCCGCGGUAGUUC
rnacentral:rRNA from 1 species